GACGAACGCUGGCGGCGUGCUUAACACAUGCAAGUCGAACGGAAAGGCCCCUUUGGGGGUACUCGAGUGGCGAACGGGUGCGUAACACGUGAGUAACCUUCCCUUGACUUCGGGAUAACUUCAGGAAACUGGGGCUAAUACCGGAUAGGAAUCCUUGCUGCAUGGUGGGGGUUGGAAAGCUUCGGCGGUUUUGGAUGGACUCGCGGCUUAUCAGCUUGUUGGUGGGGUAGUGGCUUACCAAGGCUUUGACGGGUAGCCGGCCUGAGAGGGCGACCGGCCACAUUGGGACUGAGGUACGGCCCAGACGCCUACGGGAGGAAGCAGGGGGGAAUAUUGCACAAGGGGCGGAAGGCUGAUGCAGAAAGGCCGCGGGCGGGAUGACGGCCUUCGGGUUGUAAACCGCUUGCAGCAGGGGCGAAGCUUGUGGUGACGGUACCUGCAGAAGAAGCACCGGCUAACUACGUG
rnacentral:rRNA from 1 species